rnacentral:piRNA from 1 species
UAAGACUCAAAAAAAGAGUUAAAGCAAGGGA